rnacentral:rRNA from 1 species
UACAGAGGGGGCAAGCGUUAUUCGGAAUUAUUGGGCGUAAAGGGCGCGUAGGCGGCCUGGCAAGUGGAAGGUGAAAUCCCUCGGCUUAACCGAGGAACUGCCCUCCAAACUGCUUGGCUUGAGUCCGGGAGAGGUGAGUGGAAUUCCCAGUGUAGCGGUGAAAUGCGUAGAUAUUGGGAGGAACACCAGUGGCGAAGGCGGCUCACUGGACCGGUACUGACGCUGAGGUGCGAAAGCGUGGGGAGCAAACAGG